UACGUAGGCCGCGAGCGUUGUUCGGAAUUACUGGGCGUAAAGAGUGUGUAGGCGGCGCUCUAAGUUCGGUGUGAAAUCUCCCGGCUUAACUGGGAGGGUGCGCCGGAAACUGGAGUGCUCGAACGUGGGAGAGGAAAGCGGAAUUCCUGGUGUAGCGGUGAAAUGCGUAGAUAUCAGGAGGAACACCUGCGGUGUAGACGGCUUUCUGGACCAUUGUUGACGCUGAGACACGAAAGCGUGGGUAGCAAACAGG
rnacentral:rRNA from 1 species